rnacentral:rRNA from 1 species
UACGAAGGGGGCUAGCGUUGCUCGGAAUUACUGGGCGUAAAGCGCACGUAGGCGGCUUGUUAAGUCGGGGGUGAAAUCCUGGAGCUCAACUCCAGAACUGCCUUCGAUACUGGCGAUCUCGAGUUCGGGAGAGGUGAGUGGAACUGCGAGUGUAGAGGUGAAAUUCGUAGAUAUUCGCAAGAACACCAGUGGCGAAGGCGGCGCACUGGCUCGGUACUGACGCUGAGGUGCGAAAGCGUGGGGAGCAAACAGG